AUUGAACGCUGGCGGAAUGCUUUACACAUGCAAGUCGAACGGUAGAGGGGGCAACCCCUCGAGAGUGGCGAACGGGCGAGUAAUAUAUCGGAACGUGCCCAGUCGUGGGGGAUAACGUAGCGAAAGUUACGCUAAUACCGCAUAAGAUCUACGGAUGAAAGCGGGGGAUCGCAAGACCUCGCGCGAUUGGAGCGGCCGAUAUCAGAUUAGGUAGUUGGUGGGGUAAAGGCUCACCAAGCCAACGAUCUGUAGCUGGUCUGAGAGGACGACCAGCCACACUGGAACUGAGACACGGUCCAGACUCCUACGGGAGGCAGCAGUGGGGAAUUUUGGACAAUGGACGCAAGUCUGAUCCAGCCAUUCCGCGUGCAGGAUGAAGGCCCUCGGGUUGUAAACUGCUUUUGUACGGAACGAAAAGGUUUCCAUUAAUACUGGGAGCUCAUGACGGUACCGUAAGAAUAAGCACCGGCUAACUACGUGCCAGCCGCCGCGGUAA
rnacentral:rRNA from 1 species